rnacentral:rRNA from 1 species
AGACGUCUACAUUAGACUACCCCCGUAGUCCCAGCCGUAAACUAUGCGCGUUAGGUGUAUCGGUGACCACGAGUUACCGAGGUGCCGAAGGGAAACCGUGAAACGUGCCGCCUGGGAAGUACGGUCGCAAGGCUGAAACUUAAAGGAAUUGGCGGGGGAGCACCACAACAGGUGGAGCCUGCGGUUUAAUUGGACUCAACGCCGGGAAGCUCACCGGAUAGGACAGCAGAAUGAUUGCCGGGCUGAAGACCCUGCAUGACUAGCUG